CAAGAGAACGGUUCUCUGAAAGUGUCUUUGUGAGGGACCGAAGACCCCUGUUACUCGUAGAGCUACAGGUAAGGCAAACUAAUUUUUCAGAGAAUACAAACCAUAGACAAUAAGACCCCAUAAAAUCUUCACUGUGGAGGAACCAUUGUGAUGGGGUGGGGGUAACUGUGAAGGGAAGAGAAAUACCCAGAAGUAACAAGAACCUGUUCAUCAAAAGAAGGAGGCCUAUGAGGUAGACGGUGUUAUUACCUCCAUGUUCCUUAUGAGGAGACUAAAAGCACAGCAAGCUUAUGUACACGGCCGUCGUGGAAGGAAAGGA